CAUGUAUUGAUAGUAAUAUUACAAAAGGAGACACACAGCGUAUCCUUUUUGAAAAUAGCUUCUACAUUGAAGGGAUGGAAGGUUUGGCAUAAAGUGCUAUUAACCUUCCAAAACAUUCACCUCGGAGGCUAAACUUCGCAGUACUUCAGCUUCAAUUCUGAGAAAUGUCUCUUUUCCACAACAACAUGAUAAGUGAGAGUGAAUGAAGUCCCUUGCGCAACAAACGCAGGUUUGAGGAAUACCUCUUCAUCCAUCUUCAAAUAAUAAGAGAAUGGCAAUAAGAGACGUGAUCUGACUGAACUUCUCUCUAUGAAAGCAUUUUAAAAUAUGGCACUUUACCCAUGGUAUUUUCAGAGGACAUGCAAAAUGCAGCAGAAAUUUGGAAGAAUUGAAUACUGACAUCUCUAACAGAAACCAGUAGGUCUGCAAAGACUCGUAGUGUCCUUGACCUGAAAAAAAAAAACACAAAACAAAACAAAACAAAAAACAAAAAACCCUAGAUUUCUCGUGUGAGCAGAGGGGGGAGGGGAAGGGGAAGAAGGAAUUAUAGAGAAUGACUUAGGUUGGAAGGGAUGCUAAAGAUGAUUGAGUUCCAGCCCCACUACCAUGAGCAGGGUUGCCACCCACAUGAUCAGGCUGCCCAGGGCCCCAUCCAACCUGGCCUUGUAUGCCCCCAGCUGACAACAGGACCACCUAAAAAAGCAGUUUUUCUCUGUUAGUUGAUAGGGCAGGUGGAAAGGGUUUUUUACAAAGUAGUUGAUCUGAUUGUUAAACUACUGCUACUUCAAGAGUUUAAAGUGAGCGUAUCCCAGGCAAACUUUGAGGGAGGAGCUUUGUCACAGACAGGGGGAUAUGCGUAUAUAUACACUACAUCUGGAUUAAACAAGAUGAUGCGUACGUCUAUAAGGUAUUGCUGAAAACUGUUAUAGAAAAAGGUAAUAGCUAAGUAUUCAAUACCUAAUUUUCAUUUCCAAUAAUGUUUAGAAAAAAAAGAUGUAGCUGAAGAUGAAAUACACUCUGUAUUUCUAAAAUGGGCAAUUAUAACCAGAAAAAUGAAGUGAUUAGUCAGAAAUACUUCCUACAAUGGAAGGAGGAAAUAAAAGUGAAAUUAGCUGCUAAAGGGAUGAAAGUGCCUUCAACAAUAAUUCACCAUUCAGUCAGUGGUAAAGAGAGCUUAGUGGUCCGAAUAACAGAUUUUGAAAUAUUUAAUCUUCAGGAUCCAUGGAUUUAUAGAAUAGAAAUCUUGACUGUUUUCUCAAAUUGAAUUGAUUGAGCUCUGUGCAUUAUAUUACAUGGUUUUAUACUGAUUAGAUUUAAAACUAAAUGUCCUUCUGCCCAAAAGAUAUUUCAAAAUUCAAAAUUGCAUCAUCAUCAUCAUUAUUUUAAUAUCAUGGGUUUAUGUCAGGGACACUGCAGCAUUUUUUCUUCAUCCACGGUAGCUCAGAAACCAGCAUGCCAGUUGGCUGCCACCUUCCACUUGAAAAGCUGCUGUGGUUCAGUGUGACUACAUGGGAACAUUCAUAAUACACUAAUCACAGUGGUAUCUGUGUACUGUAUAAUCUUUGAAGUGCUUGAGAAUGAAUGGCUUAUAUGUAUGUAGAAUAUUAUUACUGUAUGCUUAAUUGGGACAUGCUGAAUAGAGAUAGCUGCAUUAUUGGGUCGAUUUCCUUGGAAACUGAUGACAGUGUAUAGUAAUAACUGUUCAUUAAUGAACACAGUAUUGGCGUAUGUUCUGCUUAAGAGGCCUGAUUUAGAUUCUUCCAAAUAAAGUGUUGUUUAGCCAGGUGACAAACAUAUGCGAAAUACCGAA